CACGUAGGGCGCAAGCGUUGUCCGGAAUUAUUGGGCGUAAAGAGCUCGUAGGCGGUCUGUUACGUCUGCUGUGAAAACCCGGGGCUUAACCCUGGACUUGCAGUGGAUACGGGCAGACUAGAGGCAGGUAGGGGAGAAUGGAAUUCCCGGUGUAGCGGUGAAAUGCGCAGAUAUCGGGAGGAACACCGGUGGCGAAGGCGGGUCUCUGGGCCGAUAUUGACGCUGAGGAGCGAAAGCGUGGGGAGCAAACAGG
rnacentral:rRNA from 1 species